GCAGAUACCUCAUGGAUGGCUCAAGUACGAUAAUAAACAACACUAAGCAGACUAUGCAAUUCAUGGAUUAUUUCAAGAUUUGUUUAUUGCUGAUAUGUGAGUUUUCUAUCCAUAUCAACCCUACUAAUAUAUCAUCGUGCCAAGUCCAUAAAUUCAAUCAGGAAUAUACCAAAAAACUUAAUACCAUUUGUAUUUGUUGUACGAAUAGAAAAGGUAAAAUGGAAGGAAUCAUUCACAAAGUGAAUAUGGAGAAAGUGGAGAAUCUGGGAGUUGUGUUCAUGCCUUUGAAAUGAAGCUUUAGAGACACUCAUCAUUAGCC
rnacentral:lncRNA from 1 species